rnacentral:rRNA from 1 species
AUGCAGUUAGAUGAAGCCUGUUGUAGGACCUCAAAGGACGGAGGUAUUGGUGGUUGUAUACUCGCACUUUCUGUAUGGAGCUGUGAGUGAUUGCCGGUUGGACGACCAAAGAUCGUGAAGUACGAGGAUUGGGACGACAAAGACGACCCAUUACGGUUCCCCACUUGGGCUUACAAGCAGGAUGUGUUAAGAGACGACGGAUGA